UGGAAAGAAUUUCGGUCAAGGAUGGACUCGCGGCCUAUCAGCUAGUUGGUGAGGUAAUGGCCCACCAAGGCGACGACGGGUAGCCGGCCUGAGAGGGUGACCGGCCACACUGGGACUGAGACACGGCCCAGACUCCUACGGGAGGCAGCAGUGGGGAAUAUUGCACAAUGGGCGCAAGCCUGAUGCAGCAACGCCGCGUGAGGGACGACGGCCUUCGGGUUGUAAACCUCUUUUAGUAGGGAAGAAGCGACGUGUUUUACACGGAGUGACGGUACCUGCAGAAAAAGCACCGGCUAACUACGUGCCAGCAGCCGCGGUAAUACGUAGGGUGCAAGCGUUAUCCGGAAUUAUUGGGCGUAAAGAGCUCGUAGGCGGUCUGUCGCGUCUGCUGUGAAAACUGGGGGCUCAACCCCCAGCCUGCAGUGGGUACGGGCAGACUAGAGUGCGGUAGGGGAGAUUGGAAUUCCUGGUGUAGCGGUGGAAUGCGCAGAUAUCAGGAGGAACACCGAUGGCGAAGGCAGAUCUCUGGGCCGUAACUGACGCUGAGGAGCGAAAGCAUGGGGAGCGAACAGGAUUAGAUACCCUGGUAGUCCAUGCCGUAAACGUUGGGAACUAGAUGUAGGGACCAUUCCACGGUUUCUGUGUCGCAGCUAACGCAUUAAGUUCCCCGCCUGGGGAGUACGGCCGCAAGGCUAAAACUCAAAGGAAUUGACGG
rnacentral:rRNA from 1 species